GAUGAACGCUGGCGGCGUGCCUAAUACAUGCAAGUCGAGCGAACGGACGAGAAGCUUGCUUCUCUGAUGUUAGCGGCGGACGGGUGAGUAACACGUGGAUAACCUCCCUAUAAGACUGGGAUAACUUCGGGAAACCGGAGCUAAUACCGGAUAAUAUUUUGAACCGCAUGGUUCAAAAGUGAAAUACGGUCUUGCUGUCACUUAUAGAUGGAUCCGCGCUGCAUUAGCUAGUUGGUAAGGUAACGGCUUACCAAGGCAACGAUGCGUAGCCGACCUGAGAGGGGGAUCGGCCACACUGGAACUGAGACACGGUCCAGACUCCUACGGGAGGCAGCAGUAGGGAAUCUUCCGCAAUGGGCGAAAGCCUGACGGAGCAACGCCGCGUGAGUGAUGAAGGUCUUCGGAUCGUAAAACUCUGUUAUUAGGGAAGAACAUAUGUGUAAGUAACUGUGCACAGCUUGACGGUACCUAAUCAGAAAGCCACGGCUAACUACGUG
rnacentral:rRNA from 1 species